ensembl:lncRNA
AAGCAGCCAGCAGGCUGCCAAGGAUCCAGCGUCGCCUUUCAGCUCACAGAGGGACUCGAUGGGGAUGGCCUGUCCUUACUGCCAGGCAAAAGGACGGAGACCGCAAAUCCAUGGAACGGUGCGGAACAAGAGGGGAAACGGAAAGCCUCCAUGGAAGCUGAUGCAAGCAGCAUUCUAUCAAAGCGCAGCCUUGCCGAAAGCCAGGGGAGGAGCACAGAGUGUGGCCCAGCACCCAAGAGAGGUACAGACACACAGUGGACGUCUGGCUUUGGUGCACUGUCUUUCUACUUUGGCUUUCUGUCCAUUCUUUCCUGGGACUGUUCUCAUAGUGUGUUCUUAGGGUCUUAAUCCCUGGCCUUGACAGUUAUCUUUGCCAUCCUGAUUUGUAAUGGGAACCCAAUGUCCACCAGAGAUCCCUUGGUACGGGAUGAACAUGGUAUGGGAGAGCUGGCAUUGAGCCUUUGGCAUUUUCUUGCUUUUCCCAGCAGUGGCGACCAGCUCGGAUGUGCCGGAGGACAUCACGGGCAUUCAGGGUUUGCUCUCUUGGAUCAGUGAUGUGGCAAGAGCUGCUGAGGUGCCUCACAAGAAGCCGAGAAGCCCUGCCCCAGGAUGCUUCAUCGCUGAGCUCCCUGACAACCCCUGGGAAAGCACAGAGCUCAGCACGGAGGCACAGGCUGCCAGCGGGACCCCCAGCGACCCCUUCUGGGGGCUUCCACCAUCCCCUGGGUUCCUGUCUGAGCUGCAGUGUGGGUUGUCACAGUUGCAGUCUGUCGUGCCACCAGCGAGUGCCCGGCUCAGUCCGCUGCCAACCACGCUGGCUGUCACCACACCUCCCUCAGCCCAACCCGCACAGCCCAUCAAGGAGGUGCAGCCAAGGCAGCCCCAGGUUCUUCAUGCUCCCUUGCCACCGUCACCAGGCUCUACUAUCUGCCGGGUGGCAGAUAAGAAAAAGAGGGGCAGCACCAAGCGGGCCAAGCGCCCUGCGCCUGCUGACACCCCCCAGAAAGGGGAGAGUUCCCAGCAGGAGCAGCCCACCAGCAGCGCUCCAGCCAAGAAAAGGAAGCUGCUGCCGUGCAAGGAAAGAAAAGAAAGAAAAGGCUGCAAACGCCCACAUCAAGUGAAGCAGCCUGGGGCCAACACAGGAGCCAGCAGCAGCGGGCAAAAGGGCACUGCCAGCGAGCUGCACGUGCACCUGUGUGAAUCCAUCCAGGCCGUGCACCCGCUGGGGCAGAGAGUGACUGCGGUGGGGCCGGUGCGCCAGCCACCCUCUGUGCAGCCCCAACCCACACCCAGCGCCGGCCCUGCUGCCCUCCAGCCCCAAGACAGAGGCCCAGACAAGGCAGUGCCGGCACCUCCAGGCAGCACGGCGCGGAAGGAGGAUGCAGCCAAGAAGACAGUGCAGAGCUGCCUGCGCCCAUCACCACGGAGGAGCUCAUUCCUGCAGAGGGACCCACUGCCACAGCUGCACCAGCAGCAGCCUCGGCCACAGCGCCCCAUGGACUUUGUGCCCUGCGUGGGGCCCCGGGCAGGUGGCCGUGCGGUACCCAGAGUGCUGGAGGAGUCGCUGCCCAUCACAGCCGAGCAGCGGCUCGAGCGGGAGCGCAUGAAGAGGCUGGCCCAGGAGGAGCGGCAGCGGGCGGCCCAGCAGAUGAAGAUCGGCCCCGUGCAGUUCCUGGUGCAGCGGGAGGUAGACAUGGCCAUAGCUGACAUGUACGGCUACCUGUAACCCUGAGCUCCUCGCCGGCCCUGCAGCACCAGGCAGCAGCAGCAGCAUUCCAGGGGCACCAGCAGCAGCCCCAUCCCUCCCCUCCAGAAAAGAGCCAUCCUCCAAAGCCAUCAUUGCAGUGGGAUGGGACACUGUCUGGGCACUCAAUUGUUGUGGGAUAGCAGUUUUAGGAAUAUUGUUGUUUCUGUUACUCAUUGUUUUCUAUGAUUUGUCAUUAAAUGCUUUGUGUUUCCUUUGACGUAUCCCUCUGCCUGCAUUCAUUUGUGCCAUGUCACAGCCCCCCAGCUCCCAUGGAGGGGAGAAGCAGGGGCAGCCGGGCCUGCUGUGCAGUGUACAGACAGCCAUAAAGAUACCUCACAUGGCAUCGUGGCUCCUCUGCCUCGUUUGGGGCCAGGCAGUUUUGUCCUCACUCAGCCAAGCCUGGACACCCAGAGCAGCAUUUGCUGGCUGGUGGCCAGCCACGAGUGGUGUCCCCCAGGGCUCAGCUCCUAUUGAACACCUUGAUCAGGGAUCUCAUCCAGGGCAUUGAGUGCGCCCUCCGUAAGUUCACAGACAGCACCGAGCUGGGAGGGAGUGCUGAUCUGCUGGAGGGGAGAAAGGCGCUGCAGAUGCAGCUGGAGAGAUUGAUUGCAUUGAUUCUACGGUUGGGCUGCAGUUGGAUAUCAGGACCUUGAAGCUCUUUUCCAACCUGAGCCAUUCUAGGAUUCCGUGAUCCCAUAUGCAUCCCAAGUCCAUCCCAUAUGCACAGCCCACCCCAUAUAUAUCCCAGUUCCCGAUAUCCCAUCCCAUAUCCAUCACAUAUCCAUAUCCCCAUAGCCCACAUCCCAAUCCCAAAUCUCACAUCCCACAUCCAACGCCCCAAUCCCGCAUUUCAGUCCCACGUCCUAAAUCCCACAUCCCAAUCCCUAUUCCAAAUCUCGCUCCCAACCCCUCAUCCCAAACCCAUCUCCCACCCGUCAAUCCCAAUCCCCCAUCCCUAAUCCCGAUCCCACAUCCCAUC